rnacentral:rRNA from 1 species
GACGAACGCUGGCGGCGUGCUUAACACAUGCAAGUCGAACGGAAAGGCCUUUUCGGAGGUACUCGAGUGGCGAACGGGUGAGUAACACGUGGGUGAUCUGCCCUGCACUCUGGGAUAAGCCUGUGAAACUGGGUCUAAUACCGGAUAGGACCGCACUUUAGUGUGUGUGGUGGAAAGUUUUUUCGGUGUAGGAUGAGCCCGCGGCCUAUCAGCUUGUUGGUGGGGUAAUGGCCUACCAAGGCGGCGACGGGUAGCCGGACUGAGAGGUUGGUCGGCCACAUUGGGGCUGAGAUACGGGCCAGACUCCUACGGGGGGCAGCAGUGGGGAAUAUUGCACAAUGGGCGCAAGCCUGAUGCAGCGACGCCGCGUGGGGGAUGACGGCCUUCGGGUUGUAAACUCCUUUCGCCAGGGACGAAGCGUUUUGUGACGGUACCUGGAGAAGAAGCACCGGCUAACUACGUG